UACAGAGGUCUCAAGCGUUGUUCGGAUUCAUUGGGCGUAAAGGGUGCGUAGGUGGCGCGGUAAGUCGGGUGUGAAAUUUCGGAGCUUAACUCCGAAACUGCAUUCGAUACUGCCGUGCUUGAGGACUGGAGAGGAGACUGGAAUUUACGGUGUAGCAGUGAAAUGCGUAGAGAUCGUAAGGAAGACCAGUGGCGAAGGCGGGUCUCGUGGACAGUUCCUGACACUGAGGCACGAAGGCCAGGGGAGCAAACGGG
rnacentral:rRNA from 1 species